AAAAAGAGGAAUGGCUGGGCGUAUGCCCAGCCAUCCCUUCGCCCAACCACCAUGAAUGAUGGGGCUCUGGCUACCAACUCCUUGGUGCUAGAACCCCAUUGCCGGGUUGUCUUAAUUUUUUGAUAACCCAGCUUUUAAAAAUCAAACCUGCAAAACCAAGGGCAGGGGAUAACCAAAAAAAAAAAAUCACAGAUCAAAUACAAAAAAAAUCCUAAACUACCAGCAACAGAUAACCACAACAAAAAAUAUGAAAAAUUUGAGAGAAAUAGGAAAUCAAGGGAAAAAAGGGAAAAGGUUUCCUUUUCAUCGCAUGGUUGUUGGGUUUUAGAUCUUUUUUUUUUUAAGGGGUUUGGACUGGUUGGAGGGCAGAGAAGGUGGGGUUGUAGAUACCGCCGGUUGUAGGAGGGAGACUUGGUCUUUUUUUGGGAGGGUCGAAUUUGUGGUGGGUGGCUAGAGAGAGGAAGUCACCGACUGUAGGAUGAGAUAAGGUUGUUGGGAUUUGGUUUGCGAGAGAGCAAGAAAAAGAGAGGAAGCCGUCGGGUAGUGAGAGAAGACCGGAGCGGCACCGGCUUAA
rnacentral:lncRNA from 1 species